rnacentral:rRNA from 1 species
GCCCAGCCCUCAACAAAGGUGUACUAACUACAAACCACACUCGCCAGAGAAUUACGAGCAAUUUGCUUAAAACUCAAAGGACUUGACGGUGUUUCGAACCCCCCUAGAGGAGCCUGUCCUAUAAUCGACAAUACACGAUCCACCCAACCACCUUUUGCCCCAAGCAGCCUGUAUACCGCCGUCGCAAGCUUAGCCCAUGAGGGACAAGCACUUAGCACAAUAACUCACUCCCGAGCUAGCACGUCAGGUCAAGGUGCAGCCAAUAAGUUGGUAGAGAUGGGCUACAUUUUCUACAUUAUAGAAAUUGGUCACGGAGAGGACUGUGAAACCAGGACUGUCAAAGACGGAUUUAGCAGUAAAUUAGGAGAAGAGUGCCUAAUUGAAGGAGGCCACGAAAUAUGUACACACCGCCCGUCACCUCUCA